rnacentral:rRNA from 1 species
UACGUAGGGGGCAAGCGUUGUCCGGAAUCAUUGGGCGUAAAGCGCGUGUAGGCGGCCCGAUAAGUCCGCUGUGAAAGUCCAGGGCUCAACCCUGGAAUGCCGGUGGAUACUGUCGGGCUCGAGUCCGGAAGAGGCGAGUGGAAUUCCUGGUGUAGCGGUGAAAUGCGCAGAUAUCAGGAGGAACACCAAUGGCGAAGGCAGCUCGCUGGGACGGUACUGACGCUGAGACGCGAAAGCUAGGGGAGCAAACGGG